rnacentral:lncRNA from 1 species
GAGGCCGACAACAGGUGGUUGUCCAAGGCCGAGGAGUUCGACUACCUGAUCGUCUCUGCAGGGCACUGGUUCUACCGCCCGCUCGUCUUCCACGAGGGCGGCAAGAUUGUGGGGUGCCAAUUUUGCUUGCUAGAGAACGUCCCGUACCUGACCACGGCGUUCAAGGCCAUCAACGGGCUCAAGAACUACAAGGGCAUCACUUACCUGAGGACCUUCGCGCCUUCUCACUUCGAAGGCGGGAUUUGGAACCAGGGCGGCAACUGCGUGCGGACGAGGCCGUUCCGGAGCAACGACACGAGGCCGUUCCGGAGCAACGAGACCGCUCUCGCUGACGAGAACCUGGAGCUGUACAAGAUCCAGGUGGAGGAGUUCCGGAAGGCCGAGCAGGAAGCGAGGGAGAGGGGGCUCAAGUACCGGCUGCUCGACACAACGCAGGCGACGCUAAUGCGGCCCGAUGGCCACCCGAGCCGGUACGGGCACUGGCCGCACGACAACGUGACCCUGUACAAUGACUGCGUGCACUGGUGCCUGCCGGGGCCGAUCGACACGUGGAGCGACUUCCUGCUCGAGAUGCUGAAGACCGAGGGCCGAAGGUCGAGGGAAGAGAAGCUCCGGUUCAGCGACCGGAAGUUGAAGGCCUAAGCGCGAUCGAUGGUCUUUAGUACGUAAGGUUAAUGUGGUCGAUUGGCACUGUCAUUUUCUAUUUGGGCAUGGGAAAUUGGAAAAAUUGGUUGUCCUAUAUUUUUGGUUUCGUCGUUCCAUUAGAGCGAGUUUAUUCAAGAAAUAAAUAAAUUAUUUCAUGUGUUGGCCGUGACUAUGGGUCCUCGACACUAGAUGAAGCAAAGUCAAGUGGUAUUUAUUAUCUUUUCUCCUACAAUUGAGUAGAAAAAAGGAUGGAAAAAAAAAGAGGAAAAAUAAUAUAAAUGGUUCAUGUACUUUGGUCUAUUAUGUAAUGGAGUCCAUGAAUUUUUAAUUUAUUCGAUGUGGUUCCCUAGCUAUAGCCAAAUAUACAAUGUGAUCCUUAAAUUUUCAAUUUGUUCAAUGUGUUCCCUAAAUUUUCAGUACAUAAUCAAUUUAGUCCAUUAACUAUAUAAAAAUAUUCAACAUUGACCCUGAACUUGAAUUCAUUGAAAGACAUAAUUGAUUAUUUUCAUAUAAUUUAAGCACUAAGUUGAACAAUACUAAGGCUAGGUCCAAAUACUAUUUGCUUUGGGUCAGAGCUCAUACGGUUUUUGUUCUUCUACUCUUCGUCUAAAUCACCCUUGUUGACUAGCUUCAGAACAUAUGAAAAACUACUAGAUAAAGACAAUUAUUCAUCGUUAUCACUAGGUAGUACACAAAGAAUGCUUAUGUCAGAUCACAAUUUUGACUCUACUAAUUACAAAAAAUAACUGGGUUCAUCUUACCAAGUAUGAAGAUCAAGAGUAACUACCUCACUAAAUUUAAUUAACUUCAUCCAGAAAAGGUCUUGUUACAAGUUAGGACAAGUGGCAAUGUGGGAUGGCACUUCACCUCACCACAUUUAGGCGAUGUGGGAUUUGGUUCAUACCUACCCUCACUCCUGCACUCGAUGGAUCGAUUAAUUACAGGCUCACUAGCCUCCGUGUGGUUCAUCCUUGAACCUCAAACUUCCCCGACCCAUUACAAGCUCACCAGCUUUUGUGUGGUUCGUCCUUGCACCUCAUUCUUCCGAUUGGGCUUGGCUCUAAUAUCACAAUGUUAAGCCUAUAUCUCACUUAUAAUGAUAUUGUCCGUUUUGGGCUAGUGCCCACAUGUUUUGUUCUUGUGGGCCUUGCUAGAAAAGACCUUGUUACAAGUAAGGACAAGUGUUAUCACAUAUAUGACACCUCAUCUCACCACACUCACAUAUAUGAUACUUCAUCUUAUCACAUUCAAGCGAUAUGGAAUUUGGUUCAUUCAUGUCCCCAUUGCCAUCCUAGAGCCAGAGCUGCACUUUGUCUGAGCCCCAAAGCUUCGGCAAUCACUCUUGCCCUGAAUGGAUUGGGUCAUUACAAACAAGUACAAAAAAUUUAGGGACUCAUUGAACAUAUUAAAAGUCUAUGGACCACAUUGUAUAUUAAAUUAAAGUUUAUGAAUUACUUUAAACAAAUUAAAAAGUUAAGAAUCACAUUACAUAUUAAUUAAUAGUUCAUGGACCAUUUGUGUCAUUAUAAAUCAAUGCAAACUUCGAAGCUAGCAAAUGGGAUUGAACACCGGAGAGAUGUUGACUUUUCUGAUUUGGGAUGCCAGCACCACAACUUAAUUUUAGAUACGGAGUAAUAGCAUAUUUUGCUUGGAAUAUGUUAUUAUAUUAAAUAAAUAAAAUCAAACGAUGAUAUUUUUAUUAUGGGUACUGUCUAAGGCACUUCUUAAGUUGACUAUAGUUGGAAGUAAAAUUUUUCAAGUCACUUCGAAAAAAAAAACAAAACAUUUUAAUAAAACCAUUUAUCUCAAAUAGUAAAUAUUAAGUUUAUAAAGCAUAUUUAAUAAGAUUAAAUUUUAAGUUAACACCUUCCUUAUAUAAUUAUUAUUUUUUGUCGUAUUAGUAAAAGUGCCAGUUAAGGAAGCAAGCAUGCAUUGACAAACGAGAGGUUGUAAUCAUUAUUAUUUUUUCCCCUUAUUUUUUCCCCACGUGCUCGAAAAGUCUACCUUCCAAUUCAAGAAAGGAUAGUGGUUAGUGUGAACAACAUUUCUUUAAUCCAUACACAUUAAUCUAACCUUGGAUCCACUAAUCGCUGCACUUCAUUAACGAGAGAACUUUGACAAAAACGUUAACGUUUAGGAGAAGUAAAAUGCCAAGUCAACGUUAUUUUUUAUCAUACAUAUGUAGCGGUUGACGCGGGAAAUCAGUUAAGGAAAAGGGCUCAUUCCUUUGAAAAACGCUCAACUUCAGGUUUUUAUCCUGAAUUUUUUUUUGUCCCAUAAAAAAUUCCUAAUUUUCACUCUAAUCUUAAGUCUAAUCAAGUAUCCAAAUAUAAUCACUGAUUUUUUUGAUAUCAUCAACAUUAGGAGGUUGCUGUUGUUCCUUUCAAGGUGGGGUUGUUGGUGAAAACACCGUUUCUGAUAAUGAACUUCUAACUAAUUAUGAUAUCGAUAAUUUCGAGUAAAUUAGUGGCAAUUUGUCGCGACCAAAUUUUCGGGUGUGAACUACCUAGGGCUUGGCUAAUGGAUUGUUAAGCCUAGACUUAACUCGGUUCUCCCAAGCCCAUAUCAAUUCGCGAUUUAAGUUUAAGUUCUUAACAUGCAAUUAAUUUUCAAUUAGGAGUCACCACUAAUUUAUUUUUGGUGGGUCGAUUAGAAACCCAAGUAAAUUAAAAUUUUACUUUACUCAUACAAACUAGAGACUCUAGGUACGGGGAUUUAGUUACACUAGAUUUCUCUAAUACAUUUUCGAUACCAUUAUUUUAUUUUCCAAAAAAUAUUUUUGCGGACAGCUUAAAUUGAUUUUAAAUCUAUUUCUUUAACAUGUGAGGUAAUUCAUGUAGGUACGCAAUCCACCAAUUUAACACUCAGAUAAACAAUAAAUAAAUUGCAAAAACUUACCUCAAAGUAACGAAAGCAUUUGGAAUGUUAAAUUAAAAUCCACAUCAACAACCUUAGAUAUGGUUUCUAAUUAACACGCAAUUUCUUUUUUUGUUUUUACUUAAUUAAUGAAAAUAAUGCAAUAUGCAAUGCAAUAUUAACUAAAUGACCUAAUUCUAAUGACAUGUAAUUUCUAAUUAAAUGAGUCUAGCAAAAAUACUAAAUGACAUGCAUUUUAGUGAAUCUAACCCUAAUGACGUGCAUAUAACAUUUUUUCUUUUUCCUAAAAGAAUGCAUUUUAUCCUAAAUAAUAAAAAUAAUUUAACUUAUGACAUUUUUUUUGUAUUUUUCAUGAAAUUCGAAAUUUGGUGAAAUGUGAAAAUUACCUAACUAGAUUAAGAUCCUAUUUAAUUUAUAUUAGGAAUUAGGUUGAGCCAAAUUCUAAUUUAAACUAAAAUAUUAUCUUAACCUAAAUAAUCCUAAAAUGCAAUAUAUCUAAAAAAUACCUAAACUUAUAAUAAAUUAAGAAAAAAUAUUAUCUAAAAUUAAACCAAGUGCAAUUUAACCCGACGUACAAAAUAUGCCCUAAUUCUACAUGACAUAUGCAUGAUGAUUUUUUGUUGUUUUUUUAAUUAAUAAUUGCCAAAUAAUUAAACAUGCAAUCCAAAUUAAAAUCUAGCAACCUAAAUUGAUUUAUUUGAAUUUUGAAUUUUGAAUUUUGAUUUUUUUAAAAAAUUUGAAAUAAAAUUCCUAUUCUAAAAAUGUAAACCCUAAAAUAUGCAAUAUUCUAGCUUAAACAUAUCUCAAGAUAAACGAGGUAAUUAAGACGAGACAACUCAUUCAAAAUCAUAAAAAAUAUCACGCAUCGUUCAGAUCAAAGGAUAAUAUUUCGUUAGUAAAAUCUAUAAAUUGAUCUUAAGCCUUAAAGAUCAAAAUAUCAAUUUUAUUCCCACUUAAUUAAUUAUUUUAUCUAAAGCCAUAUAGAUGAAACAAAAAACCUUGGCGCGGUUGCGAAUCAGGUGAUAUAUUGGGAUUUUCAAUUAUGCAUAGAUAGGUAUUUCAACUAAAGAAAAUAACAUAUAAAGAGAUAAUAAUAAUAAAAUAGAGAAAAAAAACCUAAACUAGCCUAAUAAAGUAAAGCAAAAAUACCUAAUAAUUUUUUUUAAAAGAAAAAAAAAAGAGGGAAAUCCUGGCCGCUGGUUUUGGGGGUAAUCGCCGGCGAGGGUUUCCGGCGUAGACACCGGGAGCGGCUCAACGGCGGCGAGGCAAUAUGGAGCGUCGCUGGGUGCGGGCGUCGUGGGCGAGGGACUCCGAGCACGGGCAGAGGCAAGGCAGAGACGACGUUGGGGCGGCGAGGCAACGGGGAGCGUCGCGGGCGGAGCAGGAGCUUCGGAUCUCCUGGUGUCGGUCACGAGUAGGGCGGAGAGCAACCCCGGGUCGUCAGGUCACUGGAUCUAUGGCGUCGGGUGACCGAUCGGAGGUCGCGAUGAGGUUGCAGGCGGAGUGUGAUGGAGCAGGGGCUUCGGAUCGACGCGAGCUCGCGAGUGAAGGUUCGGAGUGGCGGUCCAACGUCGCGGGUGCGGCCGAGUCGUGGCGGCGGCGGCAGUGCAGGCAAGCAGCGCCGGUGCCGGCAGGGACACUCCCACGAGGAAGAUGAACAGUCACGUGGGGGCUUUUCUCUUUUUUUUUGGUUUGGUCUCUUUCUCUCACGUCACUUUUUCAACUUCACUUUUGUGUACUUUUUCACCGAAAGAAAGAGCCCCCUUUUACUUUGCGCGGUGUAUUUUAUAAGUCCAAAAAAUGUAUCCUCACGACAUAUAUUUUUUCCUUUUUUGCUUGCGCACAAUACCCUAAAUAUGUCGUUAAAACAGACAUAUCCCGCGCAAGACAUAUCCCGCGCAAUAUUCUAUCUAGAAAAAUUCCCUCUUUGCACAAAAUACACCCCUAGUGUAUAUUACCUAAAAAUAUGAAAAAUCUAAAUGGAAUAUAUGAAAAAUAUUCCCUUCACCGGAGGCCUAAAAUAAAACAAAAUAAAAAUAAAAUAUUUCUAAAUUAUAUGCCAUGUGUGUUUUUUUUAGUUUAGUAAAAAUUAACUCAAAAUUUGUGCAAAAAUUUAGGUGUCAACACACUUUUUAGAUGAGUGAAAGUGGAGGAUUUUUUAUGAGACAAAAAAAGUUCAUGAUAGAAUUGGGGUUAGAUUUAAAGUUUUGGGUGUUUUGGGGAAUUAGACCAAUAGAAAAAAAUAUAAAACAAAACAUGAUGACAUCAUUUUCUAUAUAUAAAGCUAAACACAUUGAGAUCAAAUAAAAAAAAAAUGGGAUCGAUCAACGCCACUUACAUUUAUGAAAGUAGAUUUCGAACCCAUAAAAUAAUGCAAUAAAGUCAAUGAUGUACCGUUCUAACGUAAUUUAUAGUCCCCACGCGAAAAACGACGAGCUACUAAUCUCUUUCUCUAGCAAUAAACGAUAAGCCCCGUGGACGUUGCCAUUCUUGCUAUUCAAUUGGUGUACAGCGAUGUCUCACCAGAAGAGAAAAUGGCAUAUUGGCAUUACUCCACUUGCCUUUAAUUUAUUCAUGAGGCUUUUGUCUUAGCCUCCUCUCAUUCUCCUAUUUAAUUCGUGCACAAUUCUGGAGUUUAUAUCUAGACGCAUCGAGCUAUUACAUCACAUUUUAUGGCUAAAGUUUUCAUGAUAUAUAAAAGGGAAAUCACUUAUUCUAAUCAAUCCACGUGAAACUUUGGUGAGUGAUUAGAGAUAUGCUAACGUAUGGUUUUCUAAUAUGUUCAUACACAUAUCUUUCGUGAUACAGAUCUUAUAUCUUUGAAAAAUGACACGCUCAUGUCACGUCGAGGUACUGCAGAAGAAAAAACUGCAAAAUCCGAUAAAGUAAUCCUUAAACUUUGGCUCAAUGUAUAACGUUGUCAAUGAAUUUUAACUUAAUGUACAAUGUGAUCCAUAAACUUUGAAUUCGUUCAAUAUAAUCUCCGAAUUUUUUGUGCAUGUUCAAUUUAUUCCUUAGUGUAAUGAAAAUGUUCAAUUUUGUUCUUAAUCUUGAAUUAAUAAAAAGGAUUAUAUUGAACAUUUUUACAUUGUUCAAACACUACAUUGAACAUGUAAUAAAAAUUUAGGGACUAUAUUGAAUAAAUAAAAAGUUCAAGAACUACAUUAUAUAUUAAACUAAAGUUUAAAUAUCGCAUUACAUAUUUGAUCAAAGUUUAAGAAUUAUCUAUGUCAUUAUCUCUAUAUCUUUUGUAAUAUAAUCCUUGUGAGCUUUGCUUCUUGAGACGUAUGUCAUGCGCUCGCCAUUGCCGUUGGUGCUUUAACCUAACGGGGGCUUAAAGAAAGACACGGAAAAAAGAACACGACACAAGCGACGAAAGAAGCAGUGGCUUCGAAACGACUAAAAAUCUUUUUAAAAGCUUUGAUUCCAAAUAUGAAUGGCCCAUUUGGUUCGGCUUUUGGGGAAUACAUUUGCCAAAAUGCAAAUACCUUUGGGUGAAUGGGGUUUUCCGAAAUGCAAAUAUCGUUUGGUAAAAUUUGCAUUGAGAUACAACUUUGGCCAAAAUACCGUUUGGUAAAAUUUACAUUUGUAAAUGACUUUUAUUAAAUUAAAAAAACAAAAAAACAUUUGUAUUAAUUUUUUUGAAGUUUGGCCACCGGACCGCCGGAUCCGGCGGCUGGAUGGCCUGGCGCGACCCUGGCGGCGUUGCCGGGGUCACGCAACCUAGGCGACCGUCGCCUGGGUUGCAGUCGCCUGGGUCGCGCGACCCAGACGUCGCUGGGGUCGGGCGACCCUCAGGUGGCGGUCGUCGGCGGCUGAUGGUUGUCGGCCUCCGAUCAGCUUCUUCGCGGUGGUGUGCAGUGAUUUUUGGAGAAGAUGAAUAGUGCCGAACUUGCAUUCCAGAGAUGCAACUUCCCAAAGUACCUUCGGAGCUGCAUUGGGCUAAAGGCCCUUAGAGCCACUUGGAGAUGCAAUUGCAUCUCGCCAAAGUCGUCCAAAAAACCGAACCAAACACAUUUGCAUUUGGCCAAGGGACUUUAGAGCCCAAAUAGGCUUUCCAAAUGCCCAACCAAAUAGGGCUGAAGUCCUAAAUGCCGUUCUCAUAUUUUUCGACGUAACUUUCAUGCAUGCCUAGAAGACUCUCUCUCUCUCUCUCUCUCUCUCUCUCUCUCUCUCUCUCUCUCUCUAUCUCUCUCUCUCUAUCUCUCUCUCUCUUUCUCGCUUGCACGAACACCGUACACACAUCCCUCAUCCGCCAUGAAGGUCCCGCUCUCGGCGCAUCACGGUGAUAGGAAUGCACCGCAGCACAGCGCAGGUGUCAACUUCAGGAGCAUGGCGAUGAUCGUUCCAGCCAUGAUUCUUCUUGUCGUGAUCUCUCUGUGGCUCCUCGUCGUGACCUCGCCAGUCCAGCCUCAAGAUUAUCCUCUGGCAUGGUUGAUGGAGGACAAGAACGAUAGCCCCAACAACACGAGAGUGGGGGUGGCAGUGGCAGCGGCGGCGGUAGCGGUGGUGAGGGAGAAGAAAUGCGAUGUGUUCAUGGGGAAAUGAGUGUACCGCCCGGACGCGCCGACAUACUACACCAACGAGACUUGCUAUGCGAUAAGUGACCAGCAGAACUGCAUGAAGUUCGGGAGGCUCGACAUGGAGUUCUUGAAGUGGCAGUGGGAGCUAGACGGGUGUGAGCUCCCGCCGUUCGACACUGCUGAGUUCGCUGAGAUGGCACGGGGGAAGUCAAUCGCCUUCGUCAGUGACUCUCUUGGGAGGAACCACAUGCGGUCCCUGUUGUGCCUCUUGUCUAACGUAAGUGCUCGAUCUAGUUUCGGUUGACUAGAUUAUUCUAAUUGCCACGAGCUAAUCACUUCCUCUAUUCAAAACAUGAGAAUCUAUGAUGUGGACAUCGAGCCAUAUUGAGAAGGUGGUGCUAGGGACCCAUUGUCUAAUCCUAUUGGUUCGAUUACUCGAGCGGGGUCAGGCAAUUUAGGCAAGCUGUUGGCGUCAUGGUUCGUGAUCUUCGACGUGGAGAUAAUCUUUGAUCAAAUCUUGAAAAUCUUGGCGCAAUUUGAUUAUCUGGUCACAAAAUAUUUGACUAAGUAUAUAUAUAUAGGAUUGGUUUUAGGGUUUGUGUGGCAGCUAGAAGGCUUAUAUUAAAGAUUGACUGAAUUCCUUUGGGGGACAAAUAUUUUUUUUAAGAAAAAAGUUGAGAGAUUAUCUUUUACUGUUCUUUUGAGAAGUCGACCUUAUCAAGGUUCUCUUGUGAUGGUCCCUACGACUGUGAAUUCUUUCGCUUGUGGCGCCUAUAACAUUGGUUGGUUGACACGCGUUCGUCAACAGGUCACGUUCAUACCGAAGUUGCCAAUCACAAGUUUGAUUAGAGGUCGGGGUUCGCAAUUCUCACCAUCCGAGCCUUCGUAGAACGAUCUUUCUGCAAUGAUUCACAUCAUUUUGGUAUUAGAGCUUGCUUUUACAAGGUCUAUUUAUCUUCAAUUUUUUGUUUAUAUUCAGCAAUUUGAGAUUUAUUGAGCUAGAGUUUCGGUUCUAGCCAAUUUAAGGAUCCGAUUGCUUUUGUGCUUCCAUAUAUAGUUGUUUGUUGUUAGAUUUAAUUUUUUUUCUAGCAUCAUAAAUUGUAUCUGAGUUCGUAAAAAAAAGAAGAAGAGAAAGUUCGUAAAAAAAAAAGAAGAGAAAUAAGAUGCACAAAAAAAAGGUGCACAAGAGAAAAAAACAGAUUUAGCAGAAAAAAAAAUAGCCGAACAAAAAAAAAAUCAAGAAGGCGACUCAUUUGUUAGUGGACGAAUUGAAACAAAAUCAGUAGUAAUUUGCAUUUCAAUUGGAAUUUCGAAAGUUGUACUUAUUGGUUUGAAAUUGCUAUUUGCUCAAACAAAAUCAACAUUGAUCUAAUCUUGUCUGAUUAGUUUGAUUCAUUGUCGUGAGGGGGUUGAGAGACGGGUUUUGAGUCCAAUAAAGAGCUUGUGAAAAGAUAAUACGAGAGGGAAAAGACAAGAGUGUGUAAUCUUAAUUGAUGGUGGAAAAAGCCUAGACUUGAGUUAAACACGAGAGGAGUGACAAACACAUUGAGAGAAACACGUGAGGGAGCGAUUGGUGAGGAUUAUUGUGACUAACGUAUACUUGUAGGUCUAAAAUAUGUUGCAUGAAAAAAACGUGAAUUAAAGGGAGGUUGACUCUGUACAAAAGGAUGAAGCACUUGUAGAAAGCAUUCAACAAUUGAAGGCUGUAGUGGAGGAGCUUAGUGGCCAAAUAAUGGGGAAUGACAUGAGGGUUGAUGGUGACCAAGAGCUACCCAGGGAAGGCCGCAACAUCAGCGAGACGCCUUUAGAACACGACAUAGAAGGUGUCGGCAUUAUGAUGAUGAUGAGGUCGACAUGGAGGAUAAUCGAGAUGCUUGAUUUGGAAAGUGGAAUAGAGCCCGAGGGUUUAGACACUGAGAAUAUAAUGAACUUGACAAUAUUAAGAUGGAGAUUCCUUCUUUCCAAAGGAAGAAUGAUCCCGAUGCGUAUCUAGAGUGGGAGAAAUGCAUGGCGAUGUAUUUUAUUGCCAACAAUACUCCGAGCUAAAAAAGGUAAAAAUUGUAGCUGUUGAAUUGACUGAUUAUGCUUUAAUUUGGUGGAAUCAAUGUGUGACUAGUAGGAGAUGCAAUGGUGAAAGAUCGAUAGAGAGUGGGAUGAGUUGAAAGCGGUGAUGAGGAUGCGUUUUGAACCAAGUCAUUACCAUCGAGAUUUAUUUCAAAAAUUACAAAAUCUCACACAAUGCAAUAAAAGCGUGGAAGAGUAUCACAAUGAGAUGGAGAUUGUCAUGAUCCGUGCUAAUGUGGUGGAGGAUCGUGAGGCCACAAUGUCAAGAUUUUUGAGUGGUUUGAGCCGAGACAUAGCAAGGGUGGUGAGUUGCAACACUAUGUUGAAUUGGAGGAAUUGGUGGAUAAAGCCAUCAAAGUUGAGCGACAAUUGAAGUUGGACCGAAAUCACAAGAAUGGAGGAGAUUCAAAUCAGAAUUGAAGAUCCAAUUGGAAGAGAUGAGAAGCCAAAUUGGAGAGGAAACAACACUAAAAUCGAAACCUCAAAGGAGAAGGAGAGGGACGGUAAAGUUGGACCAAAUUUAAUUUCAGGUAAAACCGAAAACCCUAAUACUAGAACUUGUGAGAUUAAAUGUUUUAAGUGUUUGGGUAAGGGUCAUAUGGCGAAUCAAUGCCCUAAUAGGAGGGUGAUGAUCAUGAUUGGACAUGGUGUUAUAGAGUCCGAAAGUGAAAGGGAAGAAGAGAAUGAUGAGAUGCUACCAUUAGAGGAUUGCAGUGAUGGAGAAAUAGCUAUAAAAUGAGACUUAUUGGUGGUUAGGCGUUCUCUUAGUGUGCAAGUAAAGGAGGAGGAGCAUCAUCAACAAAGAGAUAACUUGUUUCAUACAAGAUAUGUGGUGAAUGGUAAGAUUUGUAGUUUGAUAAUUGAUGGAGGUAGUUGUGCAAAUGUGGCAAGUUGUAAUAUGGUGGAUAAGUUGGGUUUGAAGACGACAAAGCACCCUAGGCCUUAUAAACUUCAAUGGUUAAAUGAUAGUGGAGAGGUGAAAGUAUCAAAGCAAGUUCGAAUCCCAUUUGAGAUAGGGAGAUACAAGGACGAGGUAAGUAUGAUGUUAGUGCUACAUUUAAUGUUUCUGACUUGACUCUUUUUGAUGCAAGUGAUGAUUUGAGGACAAAUCCUUUGCACGGGGGGAGGGAAUGAUGUGGACAUCGAGCCAUAUUGAGGAGGUGGUGCUAGGAAUCCAUUGUCUAUUCCUACUGGUUCGAUUACUUGAGCGCGAGCCAAGUAAUUUAGGCAAGAUGUUGGCGUCAUGGUUCGGGAUCUUCGGCGUGGAGAUGACCUUGGAUCAAAUCUUAAAGAAUCUUAAAAAUCUUGGUGCAAUUUGAUUAUCUAGUCACCAAAUAUUUGACCAAGUCAAUAUAUAUAUAUAUAUUCUUGUUUAGGUAUAUUUUAGAAUAUGACGCAUUAGAUUUCUAGGGUUGGUUUUAAGGUUUGUGUGGCGGCUAAAAAACUUAUAUUAAAAACUGACUGCAUUCCUUUGGGGGACAGAUAUUUUUUUUUAAGAAAAAAGUUGAGAGAUUCUCUUCUACUGUUCUUUUGAGGACUUGACCUUAUCAAGAUUCUCUUGUGACGAUCAAUUCGACUUAUCUAGCGAGAUAGCGAAUUCUUUCGCUUGUGGCGUCUAUAAUGUUGGUUGGUUGACACACGUUCAUUAACAGGUCACGUUCAAACUUGUGAUUACGCGUUUGUAAACAUGUCACGUUCAUAUCGAGAUUGCUAAUCACAGGUUUGAUUGGAGGUCGAGGUUCGCAAUUUGCAUCAUCCGGGUCUUCGUAGAACAAUAUUUCCGCAAUGAUUCACAUCAAACUACUUACGAUUGACCUUGUUUAUCAUGUGAUUAUACUCAAGAUGAGCCCUGACCAAUGAAUUUUCUUGUCUGCAUAAUUCAGUUUUACGUCGAUUUGACCGAUUGCUUGCGGUGUUUGAAUUGCCUUCUCUUCCCCCAAAGAGGUUAAAGAGGCGGAUAAAUGCGCUUAGAGAAAUGCGCUAAGUCAAUGUGAGCUGUUCUUAGAAUGACAUUUUCUUAUUUUUAAUGGAAAUUUAAGAGCAGAAAAUCAUAGAUGUUCAUACGAGCGAAAAGGAUAGCUUCUCUCAUUAAUUCGCGGUGUUGAUUGAGCCGAGCCCUUCAAUGCGCAAGGGUUGGGAGUAUACUCAUCCUUCCUCACAUGCCGAUGACGAGAUCAUUAGGCAUUUCGAGACCAUUGCAUCCAACGUACGCUGUGUUUCAAAACGGGUUGCUGUUCAUGUGAUCAUUACUAUCGUGGCGUGAUCAAUCUGGUGAGCACUAAGUAGGUCUUGAGUUCUAAUGCUUUCUUGGGAAGAACAACUUGGACCGUGCUUUAUUAGCAAUCGGAAGAGUCGGGUCCUAAGGCUAAGGGCGCGUUUGGUAACGAUUCUGUUCCCGAGAGUAGAUUCUGAUCAUAAAUGAUUCUUUUUUAUUUUGUUCUCGGGAACUGAUUCUAAGCAUUUUAAGCCGUUUGGUAACUAUCCAAAAUUUCUGAUUCUGGAAUAGAAUUGCGUUUGGUACCGUGCUUAUUAAUUCUGUUCCAAAUCAAUUUCUUUUAAUUUUUAAAUAAAUUUUUUACUUUUUUUUUUCUUUUUUCAUUUUUCAUUUUUUUAUUUUUCUCAUCUUCUUCUUCUUCUUGUGGCCGGCGACCUCACCGAAGCGUUGCUGGCCCUCGUCGGUCAAGCCUCGUCGGCAGUUGGGCGAGGCUCGCCUAGCCUUGCUGGUGACCAGGCCAGCCUCGCUGGGGCUAGGCGAGCCUUGCCGGUGGCUAGGCAAGCUCGUCGAGGUUGGGCGAGCCUCGCCUAGCCACCGGUGGGGCUAGGCGUCACGAGGCUUGCCUAGCCCCUGCCCAGCCUCGGCGAGCCUCGCUAGUGGUUGGGCAAGCCUCCAGCGAGCUCGCUGGUGGCUGGGCUUGCCUCUGGCGGAGGCGAGCUCGUCGGAUCGGCGGCCGGCGACGGCAGUGGACAGCGGACGACGGACGGUGGCGAGCGGUGGUGGACAGCGGUUGUGAGAUGGCUGAAGGGAAGAAGAAGAGUUCUUGAUUUUGAUUCUCAAAUUCGUUUCCGGAACAAGAAUCAACCUUUUUUUUUUGUUCUUGAUUCUAUUCUCAAUUUGUUCCCGGGAACAAAAAUCUUACCAAACAUGAUUCUAGGCCCAAAUUGAUUCCUGGAACAAAGAAUCAGAAUUUGGCCAUGUUUGGAUGGUUACCAAACAUGGCCUAAGAGUCCUAGUGAUCAUACGACCUUGUAAUCGUGCAUCGCUCGAAUAUCAAUAGAAACAAAAUUAACAAGGUGUCAUUAUAAGCCAACCAAAUAAGGUGUAACUAUAUUUUCUAACCUAAGCACAAAUUACAGUUAAUAUUCCAUAAACCCUAAAGUGAUACGUCCGUGUCAAAUUUAUUUUAAACUAAUUUUUGAUAAUCAAAAACUUUAAAUUAGUUUACACGCGGCAUCAAAAACCUCAAACUACUAUAUUUAUGAUAAUUUUACAUGCUGUUAAUUUUUGUUGAAUAAAAUUAAUUCCAUGAAAAACUACAAAUUAGUACAUCUGUAACAAACAAAGGAUACGAUCCUAAAUUGAUAUACUCGUCUACUGUCACCUGUUAUCCAAUUCGGUAAUUUGAUAAUAAAAUUUAAUGAAAUUUAAUGGAGAUAAAUUUAUCAUAGAUGUAUCGUAUUAUGAUUUUUCAUUGUAUACCCUAAAAAUUAUUUGUAAAGAAUUUGGGUGUGAAGUCAACAGUCCAUCAAAUUGCUUGUGGAAAGGUGGGGGGGUCCCAAGCAAGCGGGCUCCCGGAGCAAAAAGCCCAUGGGCUCGCUCCCGUUGUUCGGCCCGGUUUAAGAUCCGAACCGCGGCGUCGUUUUUACCCGAUAUUUUUCUAAAGUCCAGGCCGAGCCCGGAAGUCCGGCCGUCAGUCAUCACCUUCCUCCCGAUUCAAACUUUCGAUUUCCGCGGCAAAACCGUCCGUCUUCGUCUCCCAUGGCGCACGAAGGUUCUCCAGAUUCGUUCCUAACGCGUGCCUCCCGUCGAUCGCUUCGCUUCUAGGGUUUUGCCCUCGUGCUUUCUCGCUCCGAGAACUGCCUCUCUCUAGAUCGUCUGCGUCUUGGAUCCGAUUUCGCGGCGUUCGGCAGCGCGUGUGGGGAGUAGAAUCGAGUGUGAAUGGAGUCGUUCCUCGGUAGAUGCUAUUGAUAGGGCUUCGAGGGGAGCUGCGAUGCUCCUGAAUCGUCUUUGUCCGUUUUGUAGCAAUUUCCACUGAUGUUGUUUUUCCUCGCUUUGUUUUGUCUCAGUUGCCGGUCCGGUCCGAGGCAUGGAGUCCGUCGUGGCUUCGGUGAGUGGAUACCAUGGUGCGGAGCGCUUCGAUCUUAUUAAGCUGAUUUCUUCGAUGGGAGCUAGCUACGUCGGAGCCAUGUCGAGCUCGACCACGCAUUUGGUGAGUUUUGCUGGCUGGAUGCGGUGGAAUUCCGGUUGCGAGAGCGUGGCGUGAAGUCAUGGACUGUCUUAUAAUUUGGUCUUGUGGUUUGCUCUGGGUGUUGAAAUACAGGUUUGCAGAAGAUUUGAAGGGCAAAAAUAUGAUCUUGCCAGGAAGUUUAAGACGCAUGUGGUCAAUCACCGGUGGGUGGAAGAGUGCAUAAAGCAAGGAAAGCGUGUUCCGGAACAUCCCUACACAUGGGAAAGGUGUGUAUCAGUAGUCAAUUUAGCUGAUGUAUACAUGAGAAUAUGGGAUGCGGUCUAGAAUUUUCAUUUCAUUUCGAAUUGUUAUUAGAUUGGUCUGAAUGUUACCUUAAAACCAUCCUGUCACAGUCAAUUAGGCUCAAAGAUUCCUCGUUGCACGCUGUCGUGGUCAUUAAAUGUGUCCUCUUCUGAACAUUACAAAAAAGGAGAUUUCCUUAAUUAAAAAAUUUGUGCUUCUCCUUAAGAAAGCUUUAGCUGCUGGCUAGCAUGGCCUCUGGUUGAAGGAAAAUGCAUGCCCUAGAUGGAACUAUGCCCUUUUCAAAUGAGGACUUUAUUUUCCGACAACAUUCAGGGAGUUUUUGGUUAGUUUGGUAGUUUCUUUUUCUUGACUAGUUUUCCAUCAGGUAGUUAAUAUAGGACAUUCUUCAUGUACUUGAUUCAGGAAAAGUCUGCUUUUUAGAAUCAAGUCUGCUCUAGAUAAUGUGGCAUAACAAUGUUGGGUCCAGGUAUCGGACUGGACAGAGGGAGUGAAUUAAAUACAUGAAAUGCACUUACGUACGCAACAGUUUCAGCUAGGUGUUGGUGUUUGUUGCAACUUGUCUGUGAAACUCACAAGCAUAGUUAUGAGAUGACGGUCUGACAGCAAAAUUAAUAUCUUGUAUCAAUUAUUUUGCAUGAUAUAGAAACUUGAACACGAUAGAAGCUAUUUGAUUUCACUUGAGACUAUUUGACACUGAUUUUUCUGUGUAUAAUGCUUAUGAGGUGGUAAAAGAAUUAUUGGCUUGAGUUUGCCCCAUGUUUACAAAAAGAGGAAAUUCUGCAAGUUUGCUCAAAUAGUCAUAGUGGUUCUGCCAUCCAUCCAUCUAUUCUGUUUCUUUUUUUUUUUUUUUUUCCCGUGUUAGUUAGUAGUGAUGGAAAUAAUGUUGGCUGGUUUAGGUUAUUUUUGGCUCAAGAUGAAUUCCUUGGUACCUUUGUUUUAUUGUCUGUAGAAGUCAUUGUUUUCUCCAAAUUUUUUCAGAAAAAUCGUCAUCUAUGCUAUUUGCUAAUCAUGUUAUUGUUGUUAAAUUACAAUGUGAUGACGCUGAUGAAUUUUAUGCAGUGGGGAGGAAGUGGGAUCAUUGUUGUUGCCAGUCCCAGUGAAUUCUAAGCCAUACAUCACAAGGAAGAAGCAUAAAGUACUUUCUGAUCGGUCCAACUUUGCUAGUGCAUCAACGAGACAAGUAGCUGAUUCAGCUUUUGAAGAUAAUAGAAGUGAUAUUUGGACUGACUCUCAUUUGUUGAAGGAGGUAUGGCCCAGACUGCAUUUUGAAUCUCAUUUUUUGCUUCUCCAGUUCAUCAUGUCCUGCAGUUUUCAUAAACUUUUCCAUAAUUCUGUUGUGAAUGACUUGGCUUUGCCCUUGGUUUCUGCAUUUCGUGUGCUUUACCACCUAGUUCAUCAGAUUGACUCCUAUUGUUCACUGACUGUAUUAAAGGGGCUGAUGAUUUCAUCUCUUUUGCUCCUGUUUAGCGUUAUGCGUUAGCUUUCAGUCUCUUACACCUGUAUAAUAUAUGUGUGAUGUAUUCCUCUUGCAGUGACCAUUUUAAUAGCCAGUACACAGAAUCCUGAUCUGUCUGUGUUAUGCUGGUAUCAUAACUUAUGCUCAUAUGAGACUUGGCUGCUCAGACAGACAUGCUGAUGCUCAUGAAUUUUGCACUUGGUCGAGAAGAGGAUGGUCUGCAACAAAUUAAUUGUUAUCUGUAGUGGCUAAGAUACUUUUAAAGUAGUGAUUUUAAAUCAAACUCAUCUGUUUGCGGCCAUUCUAGUUUUCAUGAAUCACUAGAUUUGUAUACUUUUGUUCUAUCCCUUGUAUUACAUUCUGAAUACUUCCAUUGACGCACACAUGAAAUGUACAAUUAGAAAAAACCAAGCAGCAAAACUUCAUGUUGUCAGAAUUAUGGAGAUUAAGUUUCACUGUACUGACGGAGACGCUUUAUAUCUUGUACAAAGAAGCCACUAGUCUCUCCCUCAAGACACAGGUAGAUCUAGGAGACAGCAUAGCAUAGUGGAACUCAUCCUUGAUAACAUUUCCUUUUGGAUUUUCAAAACACAAAUACCUAAUUGUUUUCACUUUGAAUUGCAAAAUUCUCACUACCAAGGUUUACCUAGGUAAGUGCUUUGUUUUUGUAUAAAAACUUAUGUUAAGUAUUUGAGCAUAAUUUCUUUUUAGCUUGUCCUCUUUUUCAGUUUGUUUUGUUUUUCAAUCAGAAUCAAACUAAGCAUCCAGCACAUCUAGUAAAAUGAUUUUUCUUGUAUACUACUACAUACUCCAAAGGUGCAGUAUUUCAGCAGCAUGAGAUGAAUUUUGUCUAAGUCUUCUGAAAUCAGGGGCCAGGUUUUAAAGUUAGUUUUACUGGUUUUUCUCCAUAGAUUUUUCUUUCACUUUUCUCUUUGAUAUUAUGAUAGAUGCUUAUUCUGGUGAAGUCAGAUUGCCACUAAUGAGCUUGUACCUCUUCUAUGUUGUGAAGUGUCCAGAGCUGAAUCGGUCAUCUAGAAGGUUGUUGAGAGGAAAAAGAAUCAUUACCCCGCAUGAAGAGUCACAUCUUAGUCCAUCUAUGUGUUUUGGGAGAAGAGAAAUGAAGUCAUUCAGUGGCAAUGGGGAUUCUUCUUAUGCUGAAUCUUCUAAAAGGGGCAGAAAUUUGGUAAAAAGGAAUGCUAAAAGAGAGGCUUUGAAGUUAAAUGCCUCAGAUUCGGACCAGGAAUGCUAUGUGGUUGGUGGUGAUGACAAAUAUGGGGACAUAACAUCUCCAUCUGAACAGUUGAAUGGUAAGUUUGUCAGUACCAGAAAGGGAGCGACACAAAAUGGACCCUACGGGCAUGAGGGAGCAAUAAAUGGCAUUAUUGAAGAUGUUGAUGAGAUUGAAGAUAGGAAUUACGAUCACCAGCCUUCUCCUGAGGAUUCAAUUCGGAAGGAUUUACCGGACUCCCUAGAAAGAGUUUCAAAAGAUGAACCGAAUGCAGAGAAGUUAAGUCUUGAGGUUGAUGAUGUGGGGCAGACUGAUUAUGUUAAGUGUUUACCAUCAUCAGUGGAGUUAUCAUGUGUUAUAUGUUGGACGGAGUACAGCUCAACCAGAGGGAUACUACCAUGUGGACAUAGAUUUUGUUAUUCGUGCAUUCGGAAUUGGUCUGACCAUAUGGUACGUGUUCUUUUGGUUUCAUUUUUGUGCAUUUCCCAAAAUAGUGAUUGCCCUAAAAAUUGUAUUGGCUCUUGAACAUCUGCUAGUGUGACAAAGUUCUUUCUGAUAGUACAUGGGCAUGUUGCUGGCCCGAGGUAGAGCACUUAAUGGGCUGGGGUGGCCCAAUUUUGCCUUACCAACCCCAGGGAAACUCUAAAUAAAGGCCUAGAUCGUUUAUAUAGAUAUAUUUUUAUAUAAUUAGCAUUCACAUGACAAGUGUGAAACUUUUCACUGUCUUUUCCUUCUGGAGUUCAUUAGUAAAGAAAGAGCUUGAAUAUCUCUCUUUGCACUUAGUGUUAUAUAUGUCAGGUCCUUCUAGUUUGCACCCUGUAAGCUUUGGUGGAAAACAGUUGUUUCGAUACCUUUUCAGUUUACAUUACCAGGUACUGUCAUUGGAUAAGCAUGCAUUGGCUGGAUAUAAUUCUAUGUCGACUGUGAAGCUUGGUAGAAUACAUUUGCAAUCAGUUGGCACUAGGAUGCUGCAUUACACCUGGCCUUCUAUCUUUCAAUAUUUGUUGAAGUACAACUGUUCAUAUUUUCCAUCUCUCCUAAACUACUUUUUUGUUACUCCAUGGCAUUAACUAGUCAAAUGUCACUUGCAAAUCUAAAUUUUGUAUAUUGGAGUGACAGAAGAAGAAGCUGAACCUUUCUAUAGAAGUUUCUCAAACGAGCUAUAUGUUGCUUAUUUGGGGAACAAGCCAAAUUGCCCUUUUUCUGAUGGAAGUUUUGAACUAGCUUAAGCUGCUUAGGUUGCAUCUUGAAAGUGUCAUAUUCUACUUUUGGGACUCUUAUUUUGCUAACACUGUACUCCUUGGUUUGAGUUGAAAGUGAUCACAAUUUAGCGAAACCGUGUUUGCAGUCUUCAAGGAAAACGACUUCAACUUGUCCCCUGUGUAAGACGAGUUUUGUUAGCAUCACAAAGGUGGAAGAUUCUUCUGGUUCAGAGCAAAAAAUAUACUCCCAGACCAUUCCACAUGACCAAUCAACUAGUGAAGUCUAUGUUGUGACUGAUCAAGGGAGAACGAGUUCCAGAGCCGAGGUACUUUCUAACUGUGUUACGUUGUCCUGUUUCUGCAUAUUCAUUUGACAGUUAUUGACGCUCCUCCUUAGGUACAUGUUUCACAUUUUUUGGUCUCUAAUGAGAGUAGUAUCGAUUCCUUGGGGUCAUUUCACAGAACAUAUUUUUGCUGCUCCAAAAGGAAAAGAAAAAGGAAGGAAAUGAAGGAUGUGUGCUAGUAUUUCGAGGCUUAUCUAUUAGUAAUAAUGAAUAUGAGGUUAGAGAAUGAGUUUUUUCGUAGAUGUUUAAUGCAGGAGAAUAAAUCAGGUUACACGACUGUUGCAUGCAUGGAAGGUUAGAACACAAUGCAGUUGAAUUUUGGAAAUGUUGUUUAAUACCAUUUGCUGAUAGUAAGUUGAGGUGCUGAAGUUCCGAAAUGGCAGAGCACCUUUGAGUACCUUAGUAUACGUCUAUUUUUGUCCAAGGGCAUGCUGGAAGAAGGGCAAAGAAAUAAAGAUGCAUCUGUUUCCUUUUCUUUUCCUUUCUGACAAACUGCAACGGAAAUAAAUAUAAUCACAAUUCAGAUAACAUGAGCCAGAUCAUGAUAAUGCAACAAAACAACAAUCCAUGGGAGAUAAAAGAUAAAAUAAAAGGAAAUAAAAUGCAUUGAGAUUUUAUGGACAAGUUCUGGAUUAGGAGUCAUUAAGAUCAAUUACCACUUGAGCACUUUUCAGCCUAGCAUUUGUGGGACAAUGGCUUAAAUUUAGUACUAACAUCUGCAUGUCUGAAAUCACCCAGUGAAAGCUGGUAGUUCCUUUCCUCUCAUCAUUUGAAAUGCAUUUCAGUUUUCUGUUUGGGGUGUUCAAUAAUCUCUCCUCAAACUAGAACUUUUAUAGAUGCUGAUUGCGUGUCCAACUUUUCUUGUUUGUGCUAUGCAGUCAUUUGGAGCGCAAGUCUGUAGUGAAUGUCGCUCUCGUGAGCCGGUGGAUCUCCUCAUCAGCUGCCACCUGUGCCAUACCCGCUGCAUUCAUUCCUACUGCUUGGAUCCCCCGUUGCUACCGUGGACAUGCGUUCACUGCAAGGAUCUCCAGAUGCUUUUCCAUCUUCCCCACUAGCCAAUACAUAGUAGCGUGCAAUUCAUUUUCAUGUAUGGUCAAACUCAAGUGUUGAAUGACUUCUUGAUAGUCAUCUGAUAACCACAAGCCAAUUCGCUUGUGCCAACUUUCAAUCGAAGUACCUUUCUGGGGAUGGCUAGUUUGUAAUUUGUACUAGUUCUGUUGUGAGAGCAGCUCUUACUGAUCAUCUCGAUACCAUGAAUAAAGUUUUGUGCAAUUUGAUAGUUGGCUAUUGCGUCAUCGAUAGGAAUUGUGCUGAUACAUUGGCAUGUGAGCGUUUUCCAAGGUCCCACUCUAGUGGCAGGGUAGAAAUUAGUGGCUUUAUGCAUCAUUGAUUUCAAAGAAUUGAUAAUUAUAAUCCUCGAAUCAAAGGUGGAUAACGCAGCUUGUGUAUAAUUUCCUCUACUUUAACAGUGCACCGUCUAUUUUUUAGUUAAUUAAUCUGUGCAAACAUGUCACUUUGUUAGACUCGUGAUUUCAAGUUUUCAUCUCUUUUCUACUUUACCGACUCUAGUGAUGGCGAUAGGUCACUUGCCAAAUCCAUGAUAGAUUCUUCUUAUAACAGGAGAAGUUCCUUCCCUCAGCAAAUUAGGUCCCAUUGUCCAAAAGCCUGAACUAGGAAAACUCCGCAAAGGUAAGGUUCAAAACAAACUUCCUCUUUCGUGAUGAUUACAAACUCCUCAAUGACCAAGCCCGCCCGAAAAAAAAAACUACCCGAUUCGUCCUUUCUUGCUCGUGUGAUUCAAAAAGGAUUGCACAGACAUUUCACGAAUGCCAUGGUCGACAAAAUCCAUCACAACACAGGAAAAACUUGCAGAGCCCACGUAAACAAGAUCGAGCUUGAAAUCCCAUCUAACUUCUUACGCAAUCUAUUGAAACUAGAAGUAUCAAUAUCAGACAACGUUUAUGGCGUGAGAACCUUGUCAAGUUGUCCUUCCUUGUCACGUUGUCCUUGGAAGGACCCCUGACUGUAGAAUUAUUGAGUAUAUUCUCCGGAAAAAGGCAGCAUGGUUCGUGCGUCGCAUGCUUUUGUACGGUUGCUGUCGUCCCCUGUUCAACAGUAGAGGCAAAUGGGGGAAAAAUCAAUUUGGACUUCGCUUUAUGUGGAAAUUCUAACAAAAGAGCCUCCUCCCAUGAUGUCCAACCGAGCCAAUCGAGUCCCAUGAUGUCCACCCAUCCUCUAAGUGACCGUGCUUUAUUACGUGCAUGCAAUUUGCCACGUCACUAUCUGCUCCCACUUGCGCUCCUUUUGUCCUCUCUAUCUUCUCGAGCUCGUGUCCUCCUCGCCUGAGAGCCGAAAGUUGCAAAGUGCACGUCGACGACACAUGCCCCCACGAGAAAAGGGAGAAGAAGGCUGAAUAUUUUUCUGUUUCCAUCGUCGCCCGACCGAUAUGACAUAGCAAAUCGAAAUCUAUUCUAACAAAUCGUACGUAGAUUUUGCGAGUUGCUUUUAUGAUAUAUUGGCUUCUUUGCAUGUCUUUAUCACAUGUAGACCUGUCAAAAUGGAUCAUAAAUCUAUUUCCUACCAUGAAUGUCAAAUGUGUUAAUUAUAUUGAGUAAUUUGAUCACAAAUUGAUUUAAACACCGUAUGAAUUUUAAUGGAUUAUAAAUGGGCCAUAAAUGAGUAUAAGAUUUACUUAAACUCUAUCCAUUUUUAUGGUUCACCCUUUAGACUCUUUCGCUUUCACUUAAUUGAUUAUAUAUGAAAAUAUUUAAGUAAUAUGAAUUUUGGAUCGAAUAUGAAAUGCAUAUGGAUUGAGUCGAGUAUAAAUAUUAGAGUUGCAUUGUAUAAAAAUAGAUAAAAUGAACCACCGCCCACGGUGGUGCAGUUGGUUUUGGGCCCUUUCUCCCUCACAAAGUGGAGGGGUUCGAAUUCUAGAGGUAUUGCGUUUGCGCGACUCAAACGCGGUUAGAUUUGUGGUGGUAGCUUAGUCCGCCCCGGGUUUACGUCUAGGCUGCUGCCCGACGGCGGUUCCUGGAUCAUAAGAAAAAAAAGAAAAAAAAUAAUGAAUUACAUUGAUAUAUUUUAAUUAGAUUAUUUAUGAGCCGGCCCAAAUGCAAUCAUACCCAUUUGAUAGGUCUAACCACAGGUUAUGAAUAUGCAAAGUAUCUUUCAAGGGCAUGGUGAUAGAAAGCAAUCGCUAUAAAGGAUGUCCAGCAAAAGCAGCUUUGUCUCAUCCCGAGUCAAUUGCAGCUUUUUGUUAUGUGGAUGAGGAUGAGAGAAGACGCACGGACGAUUCACCGGGCUUAAGCUCGUCAUGCGUGGAAGCAAGAAACGUCCCGGAGCACGGACCACAGAGAAAUGUGUGCAGGCUAGGUCGCGCACGUGUCUUUCCACAGACGACAGCGUCGGUCGGCAAAAAUUUUCCACGGCUCCGGACGAUCCUGAACGGGCCCCUUCGAUCGACGCGUGCGUACCUCAUUGGUCGUAACGCAAAAGAUCGAACGAACCUUUCGGUUUUUCGGCGGAAUUUAAGCGCAGAGUUUUGCAGAAGACGCCAGCAUCUUGUCGAGCAGAAAACGACCCGACUUCGCACACUUACUGAAUCACCUAAUCAUUCAUUAGCGUCUAAUCACGACUCUGCAAACUGUACUUGACGUGCUGGCUAUGCACCGGAGGUUUUCAUAGGUUCGUCGUCUCUCUCCACGACCGCAUUUAAACCGCGGGGAACGCAUGUGCACCGUAUCUUUCCGCGCGAAACAAUUACUACCGCCAACGCCUCCACCUAUCAUCGUACGUACCCCUCUCCUCGUACCGUAGGCGCGCGGCACGACAAGAAAGGAAUGGAAUUCGAGAGAAAAUUCACUCCUACGCAAUCACGCCUUUCGAAAAUCUUAAUACCUACAGACAAGAAAGCACCACCGACAUCGUUCGCCCGAGAGAAAACACGAAAAAGUUAAUCUUUGGAUGGAGGUGGGGACGGGAAUUCAAAAGGCUACGCUCCUGCUCUUGGGGGAGUCGGCGACCUUGAGGGUCUCCUCGAUGAGCUUGCGGGCCUUCCUGCUUCUGAUCUCGACCCGCAUGCUGUCGCUCUUCUCGAUCUUGUCGUAGAGCGGCUUCUUCAGCUUCAGCGACCUCAGCUUCGACUUCAGGCUCCCCACCAGCCUCUCGAUGCCCAUCAUCACCAUCGCCCGAGUCCUCCCUCCGAUCGACCUCCUGCACAGAACAAGAAGAGGACUGAGGACGCCAGUCCCAUGACGAACAGAGCGGGGAGAAAGGAGAGAUUUUUAACAUGAAGAGGCGGAGCCAGUUCUUGGGUACUUACCAACAGAGAGCGAGAGAGUGGGGAUGAAUUGGGUUGGAGUUUUCGAGCGUUGCGAGAGAAGCAACGAGAAGAGAGAGAGAUAAAGAAGACAAGGAAGAGGAGAUGAGAAAGAGCCAGGCUUUCUCGAAUUACAUGGAAGCCUUUUUGUGCUGUGGUGGCCUCAUUAAACAUUUUCCGUUUUAUCUAUUUUUUCUUUUCUUUUGGACCCAGCUAUAUGCAUGCACAUUUCACGUGCUGGCCAUGGGCUAUUUUUUCCGAACAUAAUGGAGGGAUUUCGCUAUCCCUUAUUUACAGUUUGGUGAGUAGCAGUUAUAAAAUUGAACGUUUUCAUAUUCUAUCAUAUCUCGUUAAUUGUUUAGUAAGAACCGACACAUCAGUACAAGUGCUCAAACGGAAAUGACCAAAAAUUCCUCAUAAUUCCUAAUGAAAAAAAUGGGGAAAAUUAUUAAGAAUAUUUUAAACUUACUUCCAAUUCAAUUUUGAACAAUUCAAUUGCGUCGAUUGAGUCUCAAACAUUUUCGCAAUUUGUCAAUUGAGUCUAUUUGGCCAAUUUUGGCUAGAAAUCGGAGACAUAGACACUGGUCAUUUUAUGUUACAUGUAACAUUUUAAAACAAUAAUUUAAUGAUUUUUCGAAUUUUUUAAAUAUUUUUUAGGUUUUUGCUUUUUUUCUCCUUUACUUUCUUUACUUUUUGUCUUUUUAGAGAGAGUGUUUGUGCUCACCAACAUUUGGCGAAGGAAUUGGAGCCCUUGCCUAGAUAUGAUGAGGGACGUGAGUCGUGACACCCUUGUUGUGCCCAUUAAUAACCAGGACACCUGUGGGCCAAAGCGAAAGCAUGUGAACCAUUGUUGGGUCUAGGCGAGCGCUUACAUGCUCUUGCCUAGUGCUCGCCUAGUGCCAACAAGGGUCAUUGGCCCUCCCUUAUUUGAAAAUGACUAUGUUAGCAUAGGUUGUGCUACGUAAGACGGUUGGCAUCCAUGUUGGUGAUUUCCAGCUAUAAUUGGUCGGAUGGACUCAGUUGUGAAAAUGUAAAAGGAUUUAGAACUCGAUUGGCACGAUUGAAAUGUUUAGGAUUGAAUUAGCACAGGUGCAAUAGAUUAUUAUUUUUUUGAUAGUUUUUCCUAAAAAAAAUUCCCUGAAAAAAAUUGGAAACACAAAUGGAGACAACCUCCAAUAAUCAAUUCAUGAUUAUUGUAUGAUCAAAACCUUAAACAACAAAGGAGCUCAUUGCAGCAUUCAAAAGCCUACUGAAUUGACUACAAUGAUAAAUUAAUGGGUUAAAAUGGUAUUAACGAGAUAUAUUAAUCAAAGAAUGCCAAGUCUUGUAUAAGAGAGAAUGUAUAAUUAUUCACCUUCGUGAUUAUGAAAAGUAGACUCUCUUGUGAUACUUCAAUAUGAUUCCGAGAGUUGUGGAGGAGAAUGAGAUUUGACUCUCUUGCUCCUGAUGUGAAACUUCGAUGUUAACCAGAGAGUUACAGAGGAGUUGUGAAGUUUCAACGCAAAUAAGAGCUAUGGAGGAGAAGGAGAUCAAGAGGUAGAGUUUCCCAGAAAAGGACAUAAAAAUCUCUAUUCAGAUUUAUUCUACCUUACGGGAUAUCUUUAUCCAUAUAUAUCUUUUUUAAAUUUGGUAAGGGGAAAUUGUUCAAUCAAUUUUAAACCUCUUGUACGGACCAUAUUGACAAUUUCCCGAAAAGGUUUAUGAACUUUCAAUGCGAAUUACAGUUACGGAGAAGAAGCAGAUCAAGAAGGUAGAGUUUUUCAUAAAAGGACGGAAAUAUCUACUCAACUUUAUUCUACCCCAUGGGAUAUUUUUUUCAUACUAUAUCUUUUUUAAAUUCAGCUAGGGGAAAUUGUUCAAUCAAUCUUAAACCUCUUCUACAUUGAAAAUUUCCUGAAAAGGUUAAUGAAGUUUCAACACGAAUCAAAGCUAUGGAGGAGAAGGAGAUCAAGAAGGUAGAGCUUUUCAGAAAGGGACAUAACAAUCUCUAUUUACCUUUAUUCUACCUCCAUGGGAUAUUUUUAUCCAUACUAAAUCUUUCUUAAAUUCGGCUAGGGGAAAUUGAAUCUUAAAUCUCUUGUACGGACUACUUAAAAAAUUUCCUGAAUAUUUCUAUUAAAAAAUUUGACAAAAUCGAGAAGUUUAGAAUUAAAUUAAUAAGCAUACAAUAGAUUUAAGACCGAUUGGGUAAUAUUUUAUAUUUGACCUUAUCCCGUCUUGGACAGCAACCAAAUAUAGGAUAGGAUGAGAAUGAUUACAUUCCAAUUUUAAUCCUGAUUAUCAAAUGUAGCCUUGAUCUUUGGGACAUCAGAUGUAUUUUGUCAGCUGUGGACCUAUGGCCACAUACCGAUGAUUAAUGACAAUCAUCAAUGGCUCCCACGGCCUCCGGAUUCGAAUGCUAGGCCUGACAACUUUCAGUACCAAUUUGGCCCAUCAAGUUUUCCUUUUGGGCCAGUAAGAGGCCCCCGUCAAGUUUAGCCAUUUAAAUUCGUAGAACAAAGACUGAAUUUAAUGAUAGGAGCUCCUCUGAAAAUGAAUAUAAUCUCCGUUUUCCACGCUCGAUUUAAGCGCGCGUCUAAGAGCGUUACCACAUCUAACCGUGAAGUCCUUAUCGAGGAUUCUCACGAACAUUUACACGCACGGUCCCUUCUUCCCUCCUAGAGCCGUGUAUCAUAGGUUAUCCGAAAAGGAGUCUCUUAUUUAUAGCGUCGUGAUUUGAUAAUGAUAAGUCUGGUGGAGCUUAUUUAGUGGCAUAAUAUUGGCUCGAAACGAUUUAAAAUUCAUACACAACUUUAAUGGCGAGGAAUGCUAAGGCAUACCAACCCGCGACGUAGGAAGGGGGACCAUGGUGCAUAGGGAAAAUUGUAGAUUUUAUGGCGACGGUCCUACCAAUCAUUAGCCAAUCUUUCAGCGAUGACAUCAAAAAAGAAAAGAAAAAGGACUACAAAUUUACUUUGUCCCCUCCGCUUCAUGUAUUGGUGACACUGGUUUCAAACGACAUGCUCGGGACUCUGAUUGAUUUGCGAUAACUACAAGAAAUGGGAUAGUGGUUGGCACGCCGAUGCUUCGUACGGUAUAUAUGCAUACACAUGCGCCAUGAAAAUCAAUCAAUUGUUCUAAAAUUUAUUGUACUAAUGCUAAUUCGAUUUUGAACUUUUCAAUUUUGGCAAUUUAGUCCCCAACCUUUAUGUGAAAUUCUAAUGUGAUUUUUCUAUUUUCACUAGAAAUCGCCGACGUUGUGGUAUACUACAUAGGAUGACUAGUACCGCGAAAAUUGACCGAAAGAACUACAUAGAAAUUUGACUAAAAAAUUGGGGGCUAAAUUGUCGAAAUGGAAAUGCUUAGGACUAAGGGUGCUUGGUUCUCGGUCUAUUCCGAUCCCACUCAAGAACUGUGAACUGGACCGAUUCCCAAUUUCUUGGACCACUGGUCACUUAGCAAUGAUCGGAUGACCAAGCAAUGAGACAGGUGUUGGUGCUCCUCUUCCUGAAGGGUUCAAAAAGAAUAAGGAAUGCCUGCAACGAGAAGCUCUACUAAGGAAGGGACAUGCGAAUAAGAGAUCCGACACAUACUAUUCAUAUGUACAAACAAACAUAUGGUGGCCGCACUUACAGCCAAACCACUAAACUUUUGGCAACAUUUGACAGGGGUGAUUUAUAGCGUUACCGAAGAGUGAAGAGCGAGACCGCUAGAGUGGAAUAAGCUACCGGACAAGCGAGAGCCGAGAGACCGAAGAGUGAAGAGCAAGGCAUAAGGGAAAGACUAGAGUGAAGAGCAAGGCGUUACAAGAGGGAAAGAUUGGAGGCCGAUUAGAGUUUGUUUGUUUUCUUUAAGAAUUACAGAAAAAACAAAAAAAAGUAUAGUCAGUUUGGUUUGGUUGGUGCGAUUCCCAACUUGGAAUUCGGAACUGGACUGGUAUCUCUAGAAUUGCAAGAAAUUGAUCGGUUUAGUUCAGUUCGAGUAAUUCUCAGUUUGGACGAUCCGUCUUGCUCAUCUCUAUUUAGGACUGAACUAACAUUCAUAUAAUGAGUUUCAGACUAAUUGGACAUUUUUUCCUACUCAUGUAAGCACACACCCGAACUUUUUUUUUUUUUUUUUAAAUUUUGUUCUCGCAAAAAGAUACAAUUAUGUUAAUUGGAUAGUUGUGAAUGAUAUCAGGAUUUAGCGUCCUUUAUGACCUUGUACCGGAGGGAGAAAAUGUAGGCUUAUAGUACACAACCUAUCCUCCUAUUCUAUUGUAUUGAUUAUCCUAAACCUAACUUUAAUUUAUUUCGAUGUGAAUGGUGCCACCCUCUUAGUUGGUGAGAGGCCCCUCUCGAAACCCAGGAAAUUAUGUGGCUCCUGGGCUUUUCAGCUACUCAUGCACGUUAUCUUCCAAUCGAGACAUUAGUCUUGCGCAAGAAGACGAAUAAAGACAAUGAAGUCGUAAUCAGGCUCCCCUUCCCAGCUGUACUGGUCUAAGUUAUAUUUACUUACUAUGCCCGUAAAGUUCCAUUUAUUUAGCAAAAAAUAAGUAAAACUUACUUACGAAAUUAUUUACAUAUAAAUUAUUAUUAAUUAUGAGUAUAUUUUUUAUUAAUCGAUUAUUUUAAGCAAUACAAGACAUUAUCCAUUGAAAAAACAUUUUUCAACUCAUUUACUUUUUGCAAUAUAUAUAUAUAUAUAUAUAUAAAAUCUAACAGAACAAGUACCUUUCGAACUCUCAUCGAUCAUCCGGUAAUCUACUUUCUUGCUCUUACCCAUUUACUGUCUAAUAGACAAUCUCACAUCAUUAGCGAAUUAAAUUUUAAAGGAGUAGAUUCAAGGAUGGAUGGUGUGAGUGUCCACGAAUAUAUAAUAGGAUUCUUGAGAGAAGGAAGAUCUAUACGUGAUUAAUCAAGUGAUAAAGUAUAGAUUAUAUACGUGUACGCUAGAAGUGUGUGUAUGAUUAUUCUAGAAAUCUCAUCAUUUCCUUUUUAGCUAUAUUUUAAUCUGUUCAGCCUGUCGACCAAGACCCCAAUAAAAAUCACCACGAUCUCGUUUAUCUAACUCACUCGAAUGCGGUCAUAAUCAUUCAUCCCCAUGCUCAUAUAGUUCCCCCAUCUCUAGGCCUCUCUCUCUCUCUCUCUCUCUCUCUCUCUCUCUCCAUCGCAGAAAUGAAAGGAGAGAUACAGUCGCACCACCACAGAACCACACCGAAGAUAGUCCUCCUCGUCACCAUCCUCUUCGCCCUCCUCAUCAUCAUCUCCCUCUACAACCCUUUCCUCUCUCAGCCCCUCCUCAUCUUCUCAAGAACAACCUCCUCCUCUUCCUCCUCCUCCUCGGAUGAGGCUGUCGUCGCCGUUGAAGAGGAUGACCCUGCCAUCGGCUCAAGCACGGCGGAGAUCUGCGACAUAUUCACGGGGGAGUGGGUGCCGAACCCGCGGGCGCCGUACUACACGAACAAGACCUGCUGGGCGAUCCACGAGCACCAGAACUGCAUGAAGUAUGGCCGGCCCGACACCGACUUCAUGAAGUGGCGGUGGAAGCCGGACGGCUGCGAGCUCCCCCUCUUCAACCCGGCGCAGUUCCUGGAGCUGGUGAGGGGCAAGUCCAUGGCAUUCGUGGGGGACUCCGUGGCCAGGAACCAAAUGCAGUCCAUGAUCUGCCUCCUUUCUAGGGUACGUACGCAGUCCACUCACUAAGCCUUUGCCUUUUCUUGGUUUCUUCUUCACCUCCAUUGAAGCGCAUCUCGGUACUUGCUACUUUCGUUUUCAGGAGUUGCAUUAGGUCUAUUACUUUCUUUUAUUUCAAUUAGCACAACGAUAGAGGGGGGUUUUUCACUGAUUUACGCGGCUGGAAAUUAAUAUGAAAAUCCAAAUAUUCCUUACUAUAGAAGUUGCAUUACGACCAACAACGAUUAAAAUGAAAAUUCAAUAAAUUCUUUAUUAUAUCAUUCAAUCUUUUGACGUAAUAAAUCUGACCGCAUCUGUACUGAUGUUUUGGUUCGGCAUCCUAGAAAGGCGCAAGGCGACUGUGUGUUUAGAAGUUUGAGCACCGCUUUGUACAAAUUUAGUGGCAUCACAUGGCCCGAUCGAAAGUAAUCUUUUUACUAUUAACAUGUGGCUUGAGGGACGAAUGCAAAGCAGAAUUUCUUUUUUAUUUUCUAAGGUCCCCCAUCUGUGCAAGAUGAAUAAAAUAUUAGUAAUGUCAGUUUUCACGAGUAAUGACGUGUGAGAUUCCAGAAAAUGUGGCUAGCUCUUCACUUCUUAUCACAUAGCUACGUGAACUUCAAUAUCUUACUAAUUUCUUAGAUUAUUGUUUCUUUCACUCGACUAAGUAGAGUCGAGAUGAAAGUCAGCACGCUGAUAUUCACAGCCGUAGCUACGGCGAGUUUGCUCGAGUAGAAAGGUCUCUCCUUUUUUAGGAACAGGCACGACCAUGUGAAUUAGACUUUGGAGAUAGAUGUUUGACUUUGGGCGUUGAGUCGAGGUUCUGCGUCGAUUGGACAUUUUCCUUGGACGUAGUUACGCCCACGUCUUUAUGAGAGUUUGAACUAAUUCGCCCCCAAUAAAGAAAACGGGUUUGUUGACCAAAACCCAUCAAGAGAUGUGAAUCUUUUUCUAAGGUUUAGGUAGAUGUAGCAGGUGAAGAUAACGUGGAGGGGAAUACCUCGAACACAUUAAUCGAUGGCUUCUUCUUUAAAAAGAUUUAGAUACUAAUUAAGAAAACCAUUUUUCCAAAAAAUGAAUUUGAAAUUGGGGGUGAUGUGUCACAAACAAUGAGAGACUCGGUCGGGAUUUGUCUUUUUUCUUUUUCUUGCUUUCUAAAUCUUGGUCUGCCAUUAUGAGCUAUCAAUUGAUAUAGUAGCAAAGGGAAAUUGCCCUAAUUCCAUAAAUUGGGCUGGACAUGCUUGCUGCUGAAGCCUUCUUAAGGCGCAAGUAAACAUGUCACUUCAGUAGCCAUACAUGGUGGAACACUCGCGAUAGAAUCAUUAUAUCUGGCAAUAGAUUAUACGACCACCCUCAUUAUAGAUGCCCAAGUCAAUCAAUUUUGCCACAACUGGAAGCUUGUACGAAUGACUUUUGAUUAGCAGAGUAAUUUUUGUCUUUGAUUCGGAUUAGGGUCCAAUCGGUUCUAUCAAAUUUAGGCUCAGAUCCAUCAAAUUUAUUAGUUUGGCUUGGCACAAUUUGUACAUCUAUUCACUUGAUGUUUCAAGAUUUUCUUUUUUUAAACAGUUGCAACUUACACAGCCCUUUUCUAGAUGCACAACUGUAGCACAUAUUUUUCCUUAUUUGUUGAAGGGUCAAAUCUGAUUUAAUGGGUACACACACAUUUAUACACACACACACACACACACACACAUAUAUAUGCAUAUAAUUGUCUGGUUGAAGGGUCACAUUGAGAUGUCUCUUUCUUAAAGAACAGUAAGACAGAUUAGGAGAUAGGAAAAAGAGGGCAUGUAGCCAGCUAAUAAGGCUGGCCAUGGUCAAGAUUUGUGACAUCGGCCUAUUAAUUAAGGCCAUUUGCUGGUGUACACAAUUAUUAUAUUCCGGACCGAACAAUUCUUAAAGGCAUCAACCUUUGUUCGAUUCGUAUGAUCCAACUUGAAGAGUGAAGACGGCAUAUCAAUCAUAAGUAUAUAUUUAUCUAUUUAUUUGAGAUUUUCGGAUGCCCUCGCUUUGUAGAUUAAAAUUUUUUCAGGGACUUUCAUAUUUAAAGUAAGGAAUUCCUUUCUUGAAUUCGGGUCCCUUAAAUAAGAUGAAUCACGACAAUUGAUUUUUAUGGUUCUAGCCUGAGCCCCAUGAUAUCAACAGUAGUGAUCCACUCGAUCAAUUAGAUCCAGAUCGGGGCUAGUAUCCCGGUUUCAAAGCAACCUCUUUUGCUUGUACAAUAACAAUAUCAUCAUAAAAACAGCAAGAAAAAAGAAAAUAGAAUAGGAUAAUCGAUUUAAAAUUUUAUAUUUUUACAAAGGAAAAAGAGUUAAGUAAUAAUUAAUAGUACAUGAUCGUGGGGCUACAGGGUUUUAGAUCUCAUUGCAUGUUCGGAUUGGACCACGGUCCAUGGCUUAAAUAUUACUUUACUAUUAAGAGGGGCAUGCAGACAGGCACUGAUUAAAUAAUACAAGCAGAAGAAGCCGAGAAGCACGCGAAGGCUCACAUGCACACACAUGUUCCUUUGUAGCCAUCUGCGCUUUGAUACCAUUUAGGAGCCAAUGGGAUUCGAUUUAGAAAACGUCCAUUGGCAAAAGGAAUCUCAUAUCUCGUGGUUUCACCAAUUUUUAUUGUCUCUAUCCCUCCAGAAUAAUUCCCGAUCGAAUCCAUUUGCUUUUAAUUUUUGGACCAUGACAAUGAAAGUCCUAAAUCAUAGGUCGAUUAGUCACUUUGAUUCUGAAACUUUUUAUUAGACCAUUUAUGUCCUAAAAUUUGUUUCUGUUCGUCACUUGAGUCCUCGAGUUGUUGAGUUAGUUUUGAACAGAGGAAAGUUCAUGUGGAUUUUUUUUUUUAAAAUGAACUUUUGCUUUAUUUAGAUACGUGAUGAUGAUGAUGUGAUACUAGUAAAUGUCAUAUGAAAAAAACUCGAUAUAUAAUAGAAGAAAUAAAAAGAAAGAAGACAGAGGGAGCUAGAUAAGGGGUUGCUUGCACUCGUUAGCACGGUGGUGGCAAUGGUGUCGCCACCAUCGCGAGAUUGAGGGUGCUCGCCCAGUCCCCAAAUCUAGUGUGGGAAAGCAACCCUCUCUCCCUUGCUCGUGGUGAGAGCCACAUUUGGGCUAUGGUGGCUAGCGGGGAUGGUGGGGGGUGAGAGCAAUCAUCCCUUGCUAGGUUAUUAAGGAGGGUCAUUGUCGUCAUUUUUUUUAUAUAAAAAAUAUCAAAAUGGGUCAUAAACUCAUUUUUUAACUCGAUAUUUGAUAAGUUGAGUUGUUAUAUGGUUUAAUUAAACUCAAUAAAGGGUCAUAAAUGAGUUUAGAAUGGUAGAAUCCAAAAUAAUAUGUGUUAAACGAAUUCACAACUUAUUUAGACUUAACCCACUUCUAUAACUCUUUUUACACUCUCUCGUCUUCACUCAAUCUUGUGCUCGCUCACUUGGUAGUCUUACUAAAGUUAAUGUAUGAGUUUUCAUAAAUUAGGAUGAGUAUGGAAAUCAUUUUAUCAAUAUGAAUUGGAUUGGGCAUGAGUUAUUAAAUUUAUAUCACAUGAAAGUGAGUCAAAACUGAUUAAAUAUGUCAAUUUGAGUCAGAUAAUUUUCAAUCGGAUCCAAACUCGAUCCGACAACAAGUAGAAUAGUUAUGUACUUGAUGAACCUUUUCGUGAUGAUGGCAGGUGGAAUAUCCGAUUGAUGUCUCGCACACGUCGAAUCAGCAAUACAUGCGCUGGAGGUACGUGACCUACAACUUCACGCUCGCCAACUUCUGGACGCCCCACCUGGUCAAGUCCGCGGAGACCGACCCGAACGGGCCGACCAAGACGGGCCUCUUCAGCCUCCACCUCGACGAGGCCGACGACAGGUGGUUGUCCGAGGCCGAGGAGUUUGACUACCUGAUCGUCUCCGCAGGGCAUUGGUUCUACCGUCCGCUCGUCUUCCACGAGGGCGGCAAGAUUGUGGGGUGCCAUUUUUGCUUGCUAGAGAACGUUCCGGACCUGACCAAGUUCUACGGCUACCGGAAGGCGUUCAGGACAGCGUUCAAGGCCAUCAACGGGCUCAAGAACUACAAGG